rnacentral:rRNA from 1 species
GACGAACGCUGGCGGCGUGCAUAACACAUGCAAGUCACGGGGGCCAGCAAUGGCAACCGGCGAACGGGUGCGUAACACGUAAGCGACCUACCUCGAUGUGGGGCAUAGCCGGCCUAACGGCCGGGUAAUUCCGCAUGUGAUCCUUGAGGGGCAUAUCUCGGGGAUGAAACCAGUAAUGGGCAUUGAGAGGGGCUUGCGGCCUAUCAGCUUGUUGGCGGGGUAACGGCNCACCAAGGCGACGACGGGUAGCCGGCCUGAGAGGGCGACCGGCCACACUGGGACUGAGACACGGCCCAGACUCCUACGGGAGGCAGCAGUGGGGAAUAUUGCGCAAUGGGCG